UACGUAGGCAGCGAGCGUUGUUCGGAAUUACUGGGCGUAAAGAGUGUGUAGGCGGUGCUCUAAGUUCGGUGUGAAAUCUCCCGGCUUAACUGGGAGGGUGCGCCGGAAACUGGAGUGCUCGAACGUGGGAGAGGAAAGCGGAAUUCCUGGUGUAGAGGUGAAAUUCGUAGAUAUCAGGAGGAACACCAGUGGCGAAGGCGGCUUUCUGGACGAUAA
rnacentral:rRNA from 1 species